rnacentral:tRNA from 1 species
GGUGAGGUUCCCGAGCGGCCAAAGGGAUCAGACUGUAAAUCUGACGGCGAUGCCUUCGAUGGUUCGAAUCCAUCCCUCACCA